AGUGUGUUAGUAGAACAGGUUAGUGAACUCAGGACCAGCUGGAUGAGGGGACUGAGGCUUCAGUGUGUUAGUAGAACAGGUUAGUGAACUCAGGACCAGCUGGAUGAGGGGACUGAGGCUUCAGUGUGUUAGUAGAACAGGUUAGUGAACUCAGGACCAGCUGGAUGAGGGGACUGAGGCUUCAGUGUGUUAGUAGAACAGGUUAGUGAACUCAGGACCAGCUGGAUGAGGGGACUGAGGCUUCAGUGUGUUAGUAGAACAGGUUAGUGAACUCAGGACCAGCUGGAUGAGGGGACUGAGGCUUCAGUGUGUUAGUAGAACAGGUUAGUGAACUCAGGACCAGCUGGAUGAGGGGACUGAGGCUUCAGUGUGUUAGUAGAACAGGUUAGUGAACUCAGCCCCAGGACCAGCUGGAUGAGGGGACUGAGGCUUCAGUGUGUUAGUAGAACAGGUUUGUGAACUCAGCCCCAGGACCAGCUGGAUGAGGGGACUGAGGCUUCAGUGUGUUAGUAGAACAGGUUAGUGAACUCAGCCCCAGGACCAGCUGGAUGAGGGGACUGAGGCUUCAGUGUGUUAGUAGAACAGGUUAGUGAACUCAGGACCAGCUGGAUGAGGGGACUGAGGCUUCAGUGUGUUAGUAGAACAGGUUAGUGAACUCAGGACCAGCUGGAUGAGGGGACUGAGGCUUCAGUGUGUUAGUAGAACAGGUUAGUGAACUCAGGACCAGCUGGAUGAGGGGACUGAGGCUUCAGUGUGUUAGUAGAACAGGUUAGUGAACUCAGGACCAGCUGGAUGAGGGGACUGAGGCUUCAGUGUGUUAGUAGAACAGGUUAGUGAACUCAGGACCAGCUGGAUGAGGGGACUGAGGCUUCAGUGUGUUAGUAGAACAGGUUAGUGAACUCAGGACCAGCUGGAUGAGGGGACUGAGGCUUCAGUGUGUUAGUAGAACAGGUUAGUGAACUCAGGACCAGCUGGAUGAGGGGACUGAGGCUUCAGUGUGUUAGUAGA